rnacentral:rRNA from 1 species
UACGAAGGGUGCAAGCGUUACUCGGAAUUACUGGGCGUAAAGCGUGCGUAGGCGGUUUGUUAAGUCUGUCGUGAAAGCCCUGGGCUCAACCUGGGAAUUGCAUUCGAGACUGCGUAGCUAGGGUGCGGAAGAGGGAAGCGGAAUUUCCGGUGUAGCGGUGAAAUGCGUAGAUAUCGGAAGGAACACCAGUGGCGAAAGCGGCUUCCUGGUCCAGCACCGACGUUCAGGCACGAAAGCGUGGGGAGCAAACAGG